AUGAAGGCCUGCGGGUUGUAAAGCUCUUUCGGUGGGUUAGAAAAGGCCCGAGCUAAUACCUCGGGGUCUUGACAUAUCCCUGCCAACAACCACCGGCUAACUCUGUGCCAGCAGCCGCGGUAAUACAGAGGGUGCGAGCGUUAAUCGGAAUUACUGGGCGUAAAGCGGGCGUAAGCCGCUUUGCAAGUCCGGUGUGAAAUCCCCGGGCUUAACCUGGGAACUGCAUUCGAGACUGCUGUGCUUGAGUGUGGGAGAGGGAAGUGGAAUUUCCUGUGUAGCAGUGAAAUGGGUAAAUAUCGGAAGGAACAUCAGUGGCGAAAGCGACUUCCUGGACCAAUACUGACGCUCAUGUGCAAAAGCCUGGGGAGCAAACACGAUUAAAUACCCUGGUAGUCCACGCCAUAAACGAUGAGAACUGGAUGUCGGGAGGGUCUGCCUCUCGGUGUCGGAGCUAACCCGUUAAGUUCUCCGCCCGGGGAGGACGGCCCCGAGGUUAAAACUCAGAGG
rnacentral:rRNA from 1 species